UACGGGGGGAGCAAGCGUUGUUCGGAUUUACUGGGCGUAAAGGGCGCGUAGGCGGCCACCGCAAGUCGACUGUGAAAGCCCGGGGCUUAACUCCGGGUCUGCAUUCGAUACGGGCAGGCUAGAGUUCGGUAGGGGAGAUCGGAAUUCCUGGUGUAGCGGUGAAAUGCGCAGAUAUCAGGAGGAACACCGGUGGCGAAGGCGGAUCUCUGGGCCGAUACUGACGCUGAGGAGCGAAAGCGUGGGGAGCGAACAGG
rnacentral:rRNA from 1 species